GCCGAAGUGGUGGAACUGGCAGACACACGGUGUUCAGGGCGCCGCGCCCACAAAGCGUGCGGGUUCGAAUCCCGCCUUCGGCA
rnacentral:tRNA from 1 species